AACACAUCGGAAUCUACCUUUUCGUGGGGGAUAACGUAGGGAAACUUACGCUAAUACCGCAUACGACCUUGGACCGGGAGGUCUUUGGUGAAAGCGGGGGCCCAGCGAUGGCCUCGCGCGGAUAGAUGAGCCGAUGUCCGAUUAGCUAGUUGGCGGGGUAAUGGCCCACCAAGGCGACGAUCGGUAGCUGGUCUGAGAGGACGACCAGCCACACUGGAACUGAGACACGGUCCAG
rnacentral:rRNA from 1 species